CUCUUUGUGCAGCUGCCUCCUCUCCAGUACUAUCUCCUGCGAAUUCUAGCUGUCUUUGUCUUCCCAGAGUCUCAGUUCUUUCUCCUCAACUCGGGGAACCUGCAGGGCUCUGCCUGGGUUUCCCCUGCCUGUACUACAUUCUGCAUUAAGCCUUUGAGCUUCUGAUUGGAGGCAUUGAAGUCGGCCUGUCCCACUUCCCCUUCUUUGCCUGCCUCUCGUCGGAAUUCCAGCUGGUCAGCUCCAUCUUGGGCUUCUGCUACUCUGAUCUGGUUUGCUGUCACCAUUAUUCAAGUUUCACAGUGUCCCCACGGGCAGAUGGAGUCUCUCAAGCUGGAGUGCAGUGGCGUGAUCUCGGCUCACUGCAACCUCUGCCUCCCGGGUUCAAGUGAUUCCUCCAGCUCAGCCUCCCAAGUAGCUGGGAUUACAGGAUUCCAUAUCAGGAUACCACAGGACACUGAGUCCUUAGGUUCUUCCCGGCUGUGAUCGUUUCUCAGGCCUACAUUGUUUUUGAUGACCUUGAUGGUUUUAGGGGGUACUAGUCAGGUGUUUUUGGGAACUGUUUCUCAGCUGAGGUUUGUCUGAUGUAGUGGGAUUAUUAGUUUUGGGAGGGAACAUGUCAAGGUAAAAUGCCAUUCUCAUCCUGUCGUAUGAUACACACUUUCAACUUGACUGAUCACUGCUCACACUGGCCUUGAUCACCUGGCUGAGACAGUGUUUGUUAGGUUUCUCCAACGUGAAGUUACUCUUUUUCCUCCUUUGCUAUACUGAGUUCUUGGUAGGAUGUCAUUAUGUGAAGCCCACAGUUUAGAAGUGGGGAGUGAUGCUCUGCUUCCUGGAGUGUCUGAUCUCCUUUUGAAAUGAUUUUUCAUGCUGAACACAGAGUAAUUAAAGUAAGAAAAAUACGGAUAUUGAAUGACUAGUUGCAAGAAGUCCAUUAUGACAUCUGACAUGAAAAAUUAUCUAUCUACCUGUCUAUUAAACGAUUAUAUCUGUGUAUACAAACAUUAAAUACUAAGCUAUGCAGUAUCGUCUUUACUGAAGGUAAAGGUCAUUAGAUUAUAUGCCAUGCAGUGAACUGAGAAAUAUCUCAUUUUUCAGACCUAAAUCCCAUCAUUUCUUCAGAAUACCAACUCUUUAUAGAAUGUUGUUUUGGGAGAAGUUUAUAUUGGUGAAAGUUUACUUUGACAUAUCUAUGGGAUAAGACGACUUUCUCCACUUCAUAGAUUUUGAAUUCAGGAUAAGACUUUCUCUACCAAUGAGCAAAAAUGGACCAAAAUAUGGGGUAACACGAGGAAAUCAAAUCUGAGACGGUCCACAACUGAUGCCUUUCCUUCACCAUACUUAGGUAAAUGCUGUGGCACGAGUUGUUCACAUUAAACACAACGAAGCAAAUCAUAAGCAGCAGUGCAGUUGUGAUGGUUCCGGUCUCAUGGGAGGCUCUAGAGGAACAGCCGUUGUUGUGAAGAUGUUGAUUAUUUUUCUGGUGUCUGUGAAGGAAAAUCACAAAGUAGCCACUGGCCCAACUCAUGAGAACCAGAAAAAUUAAGUCCUGGAGUGUGAUAACUCGUAUGAGAGACGGCAAUUGCGUUACCCAUGUGUGGUGUAGCUAAACACAUUUUUAUGGAGAGAUUCUUGGUGACACUGCCAUAUUUGAUAGUGUCAACAAACGGCACAAGCCUGACGUAGAUGAGACUGUUGAUGACCCAGAGUUUAAGAAGAAGCAUAGUGGUGUUUUGAGCAUUUUGUCUUUCAGCCACGCCCACCUGGAUUUGCUGGGGCUCCCACAGAGGGCCUGCACCAUGCUUAGGAGGCAUGUUGUACAUAGGGGAAGUCCCCAAGAUACUCUAUAUACAAAUUCAAAUUCCCUACAUCCAGUAUAAUUCAAAAGAUUUUUAAUAUUGAAAGAUUUUACUGCCAAUGGAAUAACUUUGUGGAGAAGUGUCAUCGUAUUAGCAACAGACAAGUGAAGGAAAAGCCAGCCCAUGGGCUUCUUCUGCUGGGGACAUAUCAAAAAGGUGUAAAUAGGCAUCAGGAGUAGCAGUAAGUUCCUCCAAAUCCCAAUGUCAAUAUGAGAGAGGAAAAAAAUUUCCAUAAUUGUAUUGCUGGAAAGCAUGGUGUUAUAGGCUCUCAGAAUGAUACAAAUAUUAUGUUUCGGCCUGAAAAGACUGAAAAACAUCAAAUUAAAAUGUAAAUUAAAAGCAGAACGCAAAAGGAUACCUGUCCCAGGGAGAAAGGAUUUCAUCUCUUAUGUAGUUCCUUUAAAAGGGAAUACAAAAGGAAUAGAACUAUAUUAAAUAUCAUGUUGGAAAAUUCCAUGGUAACCAAUUAUCCCUCUCAGUGUUCACAGGUAAUUUUGGGAUGUGAUGUAGGCCAAUAGGAAAUAAUGAGUAUUUCCAUAGCAAAUAAGCCUUCACUUAUGACACACAUUUAUUUUGGCAGUAAUAAUUAGUCUCUCUCCAGAACCCAGAAUAAAAUGAGAAAAAUCAAGUGGGUUUUGAUCUGCAGUGCCAUUUAUAUUUGGUAAGAUUUCUCAUUAUGUUAGUCAGUCUGAAACAAAUUACAGUGGAGUGUGGCAGGAACAUGUAUUAUGAACUAAAUAAAUACUCACGAAUGCACUCAUCAUCCGGUUGGAUGAAAACGUUCAGUGUCUACUCUGAUGGAAGCCAAAGAUGCUGAUCAUAAUGAAGUCAAAACCAUCAGUACCUGAUUCACACUCUUACAUUUCCUUAAAAAUACCAGGAGGCUGAAACAGAAAAGUGGAAAAGAGAAAUUAAAGAUAAUUUAUAGAAGGUUUAUAAGUGAUAAAAACAUGAAAAAUAACUUUUUCAGUUAUUAAAUCAAUUCAAAUGGAAACAAAUAAUUUUGUUCAUCAAUUUGUAAAAGUUUACAAAUUAAUCUGCUUCAAAAAUGAAAAGGUCCAGUAAGAUAAUAAAUUUUCCUAUAAUGCUAAUGGGGAUUAAGUGUUGAUAUCUUUGGCAAAGCAAUUUAAAAUACAUAUUAAAAAUUUGAAGACAAUGGUACAAAAAUAAAUAGCCUUCACACAUACAAAUUACAAUCAGAAGCUAUAAGGGCAGAGAUAACUACAUUUACAAUGGCAAUAAAACAUACUUAGGAAUAAACUUACCAAGAAAUGUACAAAGCCCGUAAGAAGAAAACUUGUAGGCCAGGAAUUGUGGUUCACGCCUGUAAUCCCAAUGCUUUGGGAGGCCAAAACAGGAGGAUCGCUUGAGCCUGGGAGUUUGAGACUAACCUGGGCAACAAAGUGAGACCCUUGUCUCUACAAAAAAUAAAAAAAAUUAGCUGGGCAUGAUGGUGCGUGCCUGUGGUCCCAGCUACUAGGAAGGCUGAGGCAGGAGGGUUGCUUGAGCCCAGGAAGUUGAGGCUGCAGGAUGCUGUUUCAUGCCAUUACACUCCAGCUUGGGCGACAGGGCAAGACCCUGUCUCAGAUACAAAAAACAACAACACACACACCAAAAAAACACUGUAACACAUUUCUAAAAAACAUAAAAGUGUCUUGAACAGAUACAGAGACAUUUGGAUAGAAUGCCUCAAUAUCAUCAGUAUGUCAGUUCUCCGGUAAUUUAGCAUAUGAAGUCAAUGCAAUCCCAACUGAGAUAACAACAGUAGGUUUUUUUGGUUGGGUUUUUGGAUCUAGACAAGUUGAUAUUGAAGUUCAUAUGGAAAAAUAAUCACAAGGGUAGAAAAAUACUAUCAAGAGAAACGAGGGGGAUUAACAUCACCACAUAUUAAAACAACUGCAAAGACUGUGUAAUUAAAACAAUAAUAAUGGCCCACGAGUAAACAAAUAGAUGAAUGAGAUAGAACUAAAAUCAAGCACACAAAUAAAAUCCAAAUAUUAUGGAAAAUUAGUAAAUCAUAAAAAGUUCAUAUCUCAAAUCACUGGGCUAAAAAGGGGACUUUUUAAGUAAAUGAUGUAGCCAUUUAUUUUUCCAAUGGCAUAGCCAUUUGAAAAAGUCGGAUCAGUUUCUCACACUAUACACAAGAACAAACACCGUAACAAUGGGAAAUAUAAAGAAAGAGUCAUGCAUGAUCUCUGUUCUGACUGCUUGAACUCUAUCUGGGAGCAGUGCAAUCUAGAGUUCUCCAUUCAGCCCCCAAGUGCCCCUCUCCCUUUUGCUCCAGCCCUUUAUUUAUCCUCUCUGGGCUCUCAGGGUCUUGCCUUGUGUCCUUGUGCAAGUUCAGCUUAGUGUACAACCAGGACAUCACAUGACCUGCAUGCAAUCCUGGGGCUCCUUUCCUGCCCCACUCUUUCCUCUCUGGUGACUUUCCACAUAAAAUCCAGCCACUUCAAAAGCCCCAACAUCUGAUAGGUUUCAUCACCCAGCAAGAUCUCUGCUCUACGUUUGGGCUCCAUUUCCUGGCUCAUGGCUCUGUUCCCUUCACUUGAGAAUUAUAGUCAUUCAGCCUGGCCAACAUAGUGAGAUUCUGUCUCUACAAAAAGUAGCCACAUGUGGUGGCGUGUGCCUGUAGUCCCAGCUACUCAGGAGGCUGAGGUGAGAAGAUUGUUCGGACCUGGGAGGUCAAGGCUACGGUGAGCUGUGAUGGAGCCACUGUACUCCAGCCUGGGCCAAAGGGCAAGAUUCUGUCUCCAAUAAAUAAAUAAAGGAAAGAAAGAAAAUAAAUAAAUAAAAGGAACUGUAGUCUGUACUGUCUGUUUUUCAAAACCUGGACACAGUUGUUUAUUUUCUUCCCCUUUGACAAUUGUUGAUGGUGAAACAAUAAAUCUGCUACUUAUUCCUCUGAGAGGGCUGCCCCCCACCUUUUUUGUUAUUAUGUUUAAAAAUUGAAGAGAUCAUGUCACUAUUACUAUAGAUUUUUCCUCUUUUCUAUUUUUUAGUUUUUCAUUUUUUAGAACAGGGUUUUGCUGUGUCACCCAGACUGGAGUACAGUGGUGAGAUCAUAGCUCACUGUAACCUCAGGUGAUCCUCCCUCCUCAGCCUCCCAAGUAGCUGGGACUACAGGUGUCAGCAACCACAUCUGGCUAGAUUUUAAAUUUUUUGUAGAGAGAGGGUCUCACUAUGUUGCCCAAGCUGCUCUUGAACUCCUGGCUCCAGCAAUCCUCCCGCCUUAGCUUCCCAAACUGCUGGGAUUGCAGGGAUGAACCAUUGUGCCUGGCCUACCAAAUUUUUCAUAAUCUGGAUUUGACAGACGGUUUCCUCAUGGUUUCACUUUACUUGUAUCUCCAUCCUCUAUAUUUUGCAUGAACUUUUAACUGUAUCUACAGAUUUGAUAUAUUUCAUUUUUGUUUUAUUGAGAAUAUUUCACUAUAGUACUGUGUACUUCCCUUUGCAUCAAAACAGAAAGCACAAUGUCUGUUUAGUGAUAUCAAAAUUGAUUAUUGGGUCCAAGUAUUAUCAGCCUGAGUCAUCCGUUAUACAGGUUCCUCAUCAACCUGUUAAAUACUUGGUAUCCAUUGAUGUUCGUUGCCUAGACAUAGUCCUCAUUAGAGUUACAAAGUAGUGAUUUUCUAAUCAUACUAUUUCUCCUCUGUUAAUUAGCUGAAAUGUUCUGGCACUAGAAUAUUCAUUAGUGAACUUCAUUCCUAAGUAGAAGAAACACAAUGAACAAAUUCAAAUGAUAAAUGGUCAGAGAAAAAUGGAAAAUCUGCAACUCUUACCAGAUACAAAGGGCGAAUUUCAAUAUUUUCGGGUUCUAAAAAUGAUCAAGAUAUAAAACAAAAACCCAACAGAAAACAAUGUGCAAAGGGUAUGAGGUUACAGUUCACAGAAAAAGAAAAUACAAUGACUCUUAGAUGAACAUAUUUUCAUACAUAUUUAUAAUGGGAUAAAUGCAAAUCAAAACUUCAAUUCCAUUUCUUUGACAAUUAGAAUGACUAAGAUUAAAAUUUUAAUUAAAAAAUGUAUGGGCAACAUAGUAAGACUGAUUUCUUAAAAAAAGGUAGUUAUUCAUUUCCGUUGGUAGAGUCGUUGGGUAAAAGGUACUUUCAUAACAUUUCCUACAAAAGGUACAUUUUCUCUUACCAUUUCAGUCAGCUGUUUCAUAAUCACAAAUUUAUCCUCUAAGUAUACUUGUAUAUG
rnacentral:lncRNA from 1 species